rnacentral:lncRNA from 1 species
UAUAUAUGUAUGUAUAUGUAUAUGUGGUCGUGUGUAUAAUUUUAUUUAUAUGCACAUCUAUGCAGGUAUAUUUGUCCGUCUAUCUGUUAUCUGUAUGGGGGAUGUGUAUAUAUAUCUAAUUAUCUCUUCCAGAUGUAUGUGUGUACGUAUGAGUAUGUAUGCGCGUGCGCGCGUAAUCUUACCGGUGUUUCGGUAUAUCGUGUGACGGCAUGCUUGUAUACAUCUGUAUAUGUGUAGAAAGAGAGAGAGAGAGAGAGAGAGAGAGAGAGAGAGAGAACAGAGGGACAGAGAGAGGGAGAUAGAGAAGGAGACAGAGUAAGACAGAUGGAUAAGGAGGGAGAAAGAGAGAGAGAGACAGAGAGAGAUUGUAGUUUUCAAAAGGGAAUGUCUUCAGAAGUAUAUGUAUACAUUCAUGUUUAUAUGUGUGUAUAUAUUUUAUGUGCUGGUAUAUACGCAAAUAUUGUGCGUGUGCUCGUUCUUAAGUGUUGGUGUCACAACAUUGCAUACGUUGUGGUAAUAUUAUUAUAUGCAUGUACAUAUACAUACAUACAAAUAUAUAUAUAUAUAUAUAUAUAUAUAUAUAUGUAUUAUGAUAUCGGGUGUGAUAUGAAAGAUAAACGUGUGUAUAUUGCUGCGUAUGUAUCUACGUACGUAUGUAUAUGCCUGGUGGUGUCAUUCUGAACCUAUGUCCGCGACAGUGUCACUCUACACCUGUGCAUGCGUAUAUAUAUGUGUGUAUAAACACUCGUAUGUGUAUAUGUAAAUGGAUGUAUAAGAGAGCGCAUACGCCUGUGCGUAACUGUGCACGUGCGUGCGUGUCUAUGCCUGCGUGUAUACGCUUAUAUGCGUAUAUGUGUGUCUCUAGCUAUACAUGUGCGAAUAUAUGUCAAUGUGUGUAUGCAUGUGUAUAAAACCGUGUAUAACUAUAUGUAUAUAUAUAUAUAUAUAUGUAUAUACGCGUAUGUUAGUUUCUGUGGUAGUGCGAACGUGCAUGCGUGUAUAUAUGUCUAUAUAUGCAUGUGUGUUUAGGCACGUAUCUGCCUAUCGUGUCUGUGUAUGAUUAUACAUGUGUAUGCAUUCGUGUCAGAGUGUGUACGUGGUUAGGUCUAUAUAUAUCCAUGUUUUGUUUACGAGUGUUAAAGAGAAUAUGUGUGCCGCUACGUGCGUGUGCAUCCGUGCGUACGCGUACGUCUUAUAUGCGUAUGUAUAUUAACUUCCAAGUUUGCAUGUAUGUAUGUAUGUAUUUUUGUAUGUAUGUAUGUAUGUAUGUAUGUAUGUAUGUUUGUAUGUAUGUAUGUAUGUAUGUAUGUAUAUAUAUAUGUAUAUAUAUAUAUAUAUAUAUAUAUAUAUAUAUAUAUAUGUAUAUAUGUAUAUAUAUAUAUAUUUACUUGGAAAUGGUCUUUAGAAUGUAUAGAAUGUAUUAUGUAUGUAUGUGUGUAUGUAUGUAUUUGGAAUUUGUAUGAAUGAAAGGGUGUAUGUACGGGUGUAAAUAUGUGUGUAUAUCUAUGUACGUUUAUCUAGGCGUGUAUGCGUGUAUGCGUGUAUGCGUAAGUUUCAUUGUGUAUGCAUCUGUAUCGCCGUAUAUGCAUGUAUGUAUAUAUAUGUAUAUAUAUUUAUGAUUAUAUACAGAUGUGUUUAUAUACUUAGAUAUAUAGAGAGAGAUCUGGGUGUGUUUGCGUGUGUGAUGGAGUAUAGAAAAUAUGAUGACGGUAACGCGUCUCCUCCCAGGAAUGCUUAACUACUACUACUACUACUACUACUACUACUACUACUACUACUACUACUACUACCACCACUACUACUACUGUGGCUGCUGCUGCUGCUUGCAAUAUCAACGCCGUCACAACUUAUCAGUGCUAGUAGUAGUAGUAGUAGUAGUAGUAUUAGUAUUAGUAGUAGUAGAAGUUACAUCCAUACUAAUAACAACAACAACCAAAAUUAUCAACAGCUGCAUUUGGUAAAAUAACUUGUAUAGCAGCGGGCUUUAUUAAUCAGUUCGAAGUUGUUGUUGUUUUAUUCCCAAAUCAGCGUUGGUCGUUCAGACAUUCGACUAUGAUGAGAAAGCCUUCCAGUCGUGACCAUCCUAAUUGCUUUUGUUUAUUUUAUUUUUCUAUUUUUGCCUUUCGUCUUUUAUUCAGUUUUACCAUUCAGCUAUAAGUGUUGCGUUGCUAUGACUAUAUUAUCCAACGUGGCAAAGGUAGUAGGAGGUUUCGAAGGUGGUUUGGCUGCUAUUUCUAAUAGAUCGAACGAGCAGGUAAGAGACUCCACCGUUGGCUCCUGUUAAACUGUGUUGUUGUUGUUGAUUAUUUUGUUGUUGUUCUUGUUGGUGUUGGUGUUUGGUGUGUUGCGGUGGUGGUGGUGGUUGUUAUGAUGGUGUGGCUAUUUGUGGUGAUGGUGGUGAUGGUUGUUAUGAUGGUGUGGCUAUUUGUGGAGAUGGUGGUGGUGGUGGACGAUAUGAUGGUGUGGCUAUUCGUGGUGUUGGUGAUGAGUGCAUUGGUGGUAUUGGUGGUGGUUGAUAUGCUGGUUUUACUAUUUUGUGGCGAUUGUGGUGGCGUUGGUUGCUAUGGAGAUAAUGGUUGUUGCUGUGGUUGUAGUUGCUGGUAGUUGGGUUUGGUGCAAACCAUCGGGAUGAUGUUAUUGCUGGUGUUGGUGAUGACGGCGUCGUGUUGUUGGUUGUAGUUGCUGGUGUUGCUGUUGGUGGCGUUAAUGGUGUUGACACUAAUAAUGGUGAUGGUGGUAUUGGUGUUGGUGCUGUGAUAGCGUUGACGGUGAUGGUGAUGGUGGUGGUGGUGGUAAUGCUGGUGACGUUAGUGGUUGUGUUAGUGGUAGUCGCGAUGUCCGUGGCUCCCGUGGCGAUGGUGGUAGUGAUGGGAUUUGACGUUGAUGUUGUCGGUGGUGGUUAAGGUGAUGUUCACUGUGUGUGCGUGUGUGUGUGAGGUGUUGAUGGUGGCUGGUGUUGUGUUUAUUUUGCCGGAGAUGUAGACGGUGGUGGCUGUGAAUGUGGGGAUGGUUUGGGAGGAGGGGUUUGAUAAACUGGUGAUAAAAAAAAGUGAAGAUGGAGGCUGUGUUGUUGUUGUUGUUGAUGACUAUGUUGACGAUGACGACGGUGAUGAUAAUGAUGAUGAUGAUGAUGACGAUGAUGAUGACGACGAUGGUGACGAUGAUGGUGAUGAUGAUGGUGAUGAUGAUGAUGAUGAUGAUGAUGAUGACGAUGAUGAUGACGACGAUGGUGACGAUGACGAUGAUGAUGAUGGUGAUGAUGAUGAUGAUGAUGACGAUGAAUGCGGCGAUGAUGAUGAUGGUGAUGACAACCACGAUGCAAAAGACGACCAAGACAACGACGAUGACGAUGAUGAUGAUUGUGGAUCACAACGACGACAGUUAUGAAAAUAAUAGCAACGAUGAUGACGAGGGCGACGAUGACAACGACGGUGAUGAUGAUGACGGCGGCGGUUGUGGCGGGGGAGGGGGAUCUGGUAGUCACUGUAGUGGUGAUUCUGAUAGAUUGUGUGAAUGCAGAGAUGGAAGAAGAAGAAUAGGAAGAAGAAGAAGAAGAAGAAGAAUAGGAAGAAGAAGAAGAAGAAGAAGUAGAAG